UUGGGUGCACCACACGCUAAAGUACGGCAGGAGAUUUUGCGACUGGUUUUGAAGUCUGGUCAGCGGUGUACGGCAGGCGGGAUUCCUCAAGUCUGCCGGUCGCGUUUCCACGAGUUCUUGGAGUUGGCUGAGGAAACAACACGUGCAAUAAAACAGCACAGUCAUGCCAGUCAGAGUGCCUUUAACCCCAGAUUGAAAUGCAGGCUUUACCUGGAAGUAAUAUUCGUGUUUCAAACACAGAUGUGAUCGUGAUGUUGUGGAAGUGCAGCAGGUGUAAUUGGUUAUUGAUGAAAGGCUAUCAGGGACAGGGAAUAACCUACUUUGAAUUAAGGAGAAUAAAUCAGCUUUAAUAACAGAAACAACAUCCGAAGAAUCCGACCCUUCCUCACCAACUACGCCACCCAGCUCCUGGUCCAGGCCUUGGUACUCUCCCGCCUAGACUACUGCAACUUCCUCCUGGCUUGCCUCCCUGCAUCCGCCACCCGUCCGCUCCAGCUCAUCCAGAACUCUGCUGCUCGCCUGGUGUUCUCUCUGCCUCGCUUCGCCCACGCUACUCCACUACUCUGCUCACUCCACUGGCUCCCGAUCACCGCUCGCAUCCAGUUCAAGACUCUUCUACUAGCCUACAGAUGCCUUGACCAGACUGCACCCAGCUACCUCCAGACCCUCAUCUCUCCCUACACCCCCACUCGACCUCUCCGCUCUGCCUGCACUAGAAGACUGGCUCUACCUCCUCUACGCUCCCCUGCCUCCAGAGCCCGCUCCUUCUCCACCCUCACUCCGCAGUGGUGGAAUGACCAUCCUACAGAUGUCAGGACUGCCCAGUCCCUGACCACAUUCCGGCGCCUCCUUAAGACUCACCUCUUCAGACAGCACCUGUAGAACUCCUUUGUUUUUCCCCUGGGACACUAUCACCCUUCCUUAAAUGCGCUUUACUUGCUCUUAUCUGCCCCCUAUUUUACUGCAUUUAAUCCUGUACUUCAGAGUACUGUAAUCUGCCAAGUGUUUAAUCUGUAGUAUUUUGUAUUUAAUCAUAUCUUGAUGUAACUGUUACUGUUAUCUUCUGUAUUAUUGAAUUGUAUUUUGUCACACUUGUACUUACUUGAACCAAAGUCAUUGUAUUUAUCUUGCUCUUAUUGUAUUACUUGUACUGUAACACUUGAA